UCGUAACAAGGUAGCCGUAUCGGAAGGUGCGGCUGGAUCACCUCCUUUCUAAGGAAUAUGCAGUCCUUGUAGACUGAUAAAACGUUGACCGUUACUUGUUUGUUUAGUUUUGAGGGAAUAAUUCUCUCAAAGCUUUUUUUAAUCGUUCUUUGAAAACUAGAUAAUCGUAAGAAGAAGUAACCAAGUAAAAACCGAGUGAAUUGCCAUUUUAGUUUUUCUCUCUUAUUAAAUUAAGAGUAAAACCUUUUUAGGUUAAGUUAGAAAGGGCGCAC
rnacentral:misc_RNA from 1 species